rnacentral:rRNA from 1 species
CUACAGGGGUAUCUAAUCCUGUUUGAUACCCACGCUUUCGUGCUUCAGUGUCAGUUAUGCCUUAGUAAGCUGCCUUCGCAAUCGGAGUUCUGCGUGAUCUCUAUGCAUUUCACCGCUACACCACGCAUUCCGCCUACUUCAUCCAUACUCAAGACCACCAGUUUCAACGGCAAUUUUAUCGUUGAGCGACAAACUUUCACCACUGACUUAACAGUCCACCUACGCACCCUUUAAACCCAAUAAAUCCGGAUAACGCUUGCAUCCUCCGUAUUACCGCGGCUGCUGGCAC